UAUAAACAUCAAGAGCAGUUUAAUCUGCACCAACCGAGCAAGACAGCCGCGGUGGUCAAGAUACGAUGUGGAAGAUUUAGUUUAACUUCAAAAAAAUGUCAUUAU
rnacentral:ncRNA from 2 species